CCCCUCUCAGGGUCUCACACCUGGAGAGUUUCCAGUACUCUACCAGUCUUGAAUACAGGAGGGAGAGUCAAGCAGAGGCAUACCCAUUAUUCCAUUCUUAGCUUGGGCAGUGGCUAGCGAGUGGAAGGCGAUCUGCUACAAGU